rnacentral:rRNA from 1 species
UGGGGAAUAUUGGGCAAUGGGCGAAAGCCUGACCCAGCAACGCCGCGUGAGUGAUGAAGGCCUUCGGGUUGUAAAACUCUUUGGACAGGGACGAAGAAAGUGACGGUACCGAAAAAGCAAGCCACGGCUAACUACGUGCCAGCAGCCGCGGUAAUACGUAGGUGGCAAGCGUUGUCCGGAAUUAUUGGGCGUAAAGCGCGCGCAGGCGGCUACUUAAGUCCAUCUUAAAAGUGCGGGGCUUAACCCCGUGAUGGGAUGGAAACUGAGAAGCUGGAGUGUCGGAGAGGAAAGUGGAAUUCCUAGUGUAGCGGUGAAAUGCGUAGAGAUUAGGAAGAACACCGGUGGCGAAGGCGACUUUCUGGACGACAACUGACGCUUAGGCGCGAAAGCGUGGGGAGCAAACAGG